UUACAACAUGCAUUGGACGUGUAUACACCAGAAGUCUUUACCUUGUUCCAGAAGGAAUACAUACCCAUCUUUAGAGUCCAUAUUGAAUUCAUAUACACCAGAAGUCUUUACCUUGUUCCAGAAGGAAUACAUACCUAUAGGUGAUUAUGUUGCCAAAAGGGUCAAUAAGUCUGAGAUGGUGAGUGCUGAAUACAAUGUAUCUUUUUGUGGUGUUGGAAGAAAUCAUUUGGUUAACUAUGUUGCUGCAAACGAAAUGAUACAUUGUAGUUGCAUGAAGUUUUCUUUUGGCGGAAUCUUAUGUCGUCAUGCAUUAAAAGUGUUGGCAAAGAAGGAUGUUAGAAGAAUUCCACCUACUUACAUUCUGAAUCGAUGGAGUAAAGAGGCUAAAGCACGAACCAUAUUCUUUUACCAUUCAGCGACACCUAAUGAUACAGUGAAGCAAUCGAUCGGAAAGCGAUAUAGUCAUAUAUGUCGUACUUUCCGUGAGAUUGCGUUUGUUGCUGCUGACGUUGUGUGCAGAUGAAGCUGCCUCUCAGUUGCUUGAAAAAUUGGUGGAAAAGAAAAAGGAACUUGUGAAAGGUAAUAAAUGGAUGGUCCACUCUUCAGAUUUUGAACUUAUGGAAGAAGAAGAUGAAGAAGAAGUUCUAAACGCACGUGGAAUAAAAAGAAA
rnacentral:lncRNA from 1 species